rnacentral:lncRNA from 1 species
CAUUCUGACCUCACACCUCAUCCCACCCUGGCCCAGACAGGCCACUUGCUAUUUAUGGCCCUGCCUUAAAAAGUGUUGAAGAAGUAGCAUCCAAGAACUAAAAUAAUAACUAUUAUUAUAAUAGCCAACAUCUGCACAGCACCUCAAAUAUUGCAAGGUGUUAUUUGCAUAGAUUAUCUCAACUAUGCAUCACAAUGAACCUGGUGCUAUGUUCAUUAUUAUUACAUCACAGAGGCUUAAUUGGGCCCUUACAGAAGACCUAGUCCAGGGAUACUUGGCUCUUGCAUGUUAAUGUAUCAGCCAACACCUCUCCUGUGCACCUAUGGCAGACAUCAUUAAUCCAUCAAGGCACUCUCCUGUUUAGCCCAGUCCCUGCUUCAGAGCUCUUCUCAGUAUUGUGACCCAGACAGCGGCUACCCAUCAACCAGACUGCCACACAGGACAGAAAUCUAGAUUAUUACAUAAUCCAUCUUGAGAAUUUAGAAGAAUAAUAUCGCCCUCGUGCCUGGCUUAUAUAGAAAAAGGGACAGCAAGAAGACAGAUAAAGUGGAGCACAGAAAGAAGGAUGAAAUGAAAAUUAUUUGUCUAUUUUAGACAAGCAAUUUUCUCUAAUGUUCUGUUCUCUUGUUUGGUUGUUCUAGUGAGAGCUCAAGGACCUUUUAAGGUGGAACGAAUCUGGGGGUUGUUCUGGGGGAGGCAGUUAGCCUUGGGUACCUGGAAAUAUGGGUAGGAAAAGCUGGGAACAGAGCCCAGGAGGAACCAAGUGUCCAAUGCCAACACCUGGGCCCAGAGGCCCCACUGCACACCCCACCUGGCCCUGGAAGGGAGAGGACAGAUAAAAUUCGGAGAUUUCAUCAUGUCAGACGUGGAGUUGGGUUCUUUUCACCUGCAUGAAAAUACUGCAAAGUACUCAUAAUGUCUCCAUUUUACAGAUGAGCAAACUGAGGCUCAGAGAAAUUAUACUGUCUUUGGCUUCAUCUAGGGACUUCUCAUUCUAGAAGGAAAAAAACACAAUUUAAUCCAAAACUCUCAAAACUACCAAGAAGAGCCAGGUGCACAGGAACACUGGGAGCCAGCCAAUUUCUCGCCGACAUCAGAACACCUGGGUUUUAGUCCUGCCACUGGUUCUCUCCCAGUAUGACUCUAAGUGAGUCUUGUGACUCCUCUGGGCCUCAGUUUACCCAUCUGUAGAAUCAAAUGGCAAAAUGGGCCGGGUGUGGUGGCUCACGCC